CACCUGAUAGCACAUGGUGUGCACCUGCCUUUCCUAGCUCGGAGAAGAUAUUUCCAUUUGUAGGCAGGAGGUCCUCGUUCGACUCGGGGUCGGGUGA